CAGAGGCCAGGGGCACAGGGCAGCCUCAGAGCAGUGGCACCUGAGGGUAUCAGAUCAUCUACUGCCUGGCCAACAGCAACUCCAGCAUGUUCACCACAGUGGAGAUGGGUGCCAUGGUGAGGCAAUUCACGGCCACUGAGCUGGCCCCAGAGUCAGGGUACAUCUUCAGACUGACGACGAAGAUGAGGCAGGGCUGGGUGAGCCCCUAGAGGCCACCAUCAUCACCACUGAGAAGCAAGGUGGUGCUUCGAGGCUCAGGUGACUUGACCUCCUUGGCAGCAUCCAAUGCGCCUGGCCUCUGUCUCUUCAGUGCAGAUUCAAGUGCAACACGUACAGGAGUGUGACGCCUGUUGUCUCCCCG